rnacentral:sRNA from 1 species
GGAAGGAUCAUUAACGAGUCGUCAAACACGGGUUGUCGCUGGCCCCCAAACGGGGCACGUGCACGCUCUGUUUACACAUCCACUCACACCUGUGCACCCUCUGUAGUUCUGUGGAUCGGGAGACACCGUCUUCCUUCCGUGGCUCUACGUCUUUACACACACAACGUAGCGACGUCUUAUGGAAUGUUUUUCGCGUUCGACGCAAUACAAUACAACUUUCAGCAACGGAUCUCUUGGCUCUCGCAUCGAUGAAGAACGCAGCGAAAUGCGAUAAGUAAUGUGAAUUGCAGAAUUCAGUGAAUCAUCGAAUCUUUGAACGCACCUUGCGCCUCUUGGUUAUUCCUUGGGGCAUGCCUGUUUGAGUAUCAUGAACACCUCAACUCUCGUGGUCUUUCCAUGAUGAGCUUGGACUUUGGGGGUUUGCUGGUCCUGUGGCCGGCUCCUCUCAAAUGAAUCAGCUUGCCAGUGUUUGGUGGCGUCGCGGGUGUGAUAACUAUCUACGCUCGUGAUCUUCCGCCAGGUAACCCUCAGCGAUGAAGGUUCAUUGGGGCUCAUAAACGUCUCUCCCCGGCGAGGACAACUUUUGAACGUUCGAUCUCAAAUCAGGUAGGACUACCCGCUGAACUUAAGCAUAUCAAUAAGCGGAGGAAAAGAAACUAACAAGGAUUCCCCUAGUAACUGCGAGUGAAGCGGGAAGAGCUCAAAUUUAAAAUCUGGCGUGCCUCUGGUCGUCCGAAUUGUAGUCUGGAGAAGCGUUUUCCGUGUUGGACCGUGUAUAAGUCUCUUGGAACAGGGCGUCAUAGAGGGUGAGAAUCCCGUCUUUGACACGGACCGCCAACGCUUUGUGAUGCGCUCUCAAAGAGUCGAGUUGUUUGGGAAUGCAGCUCAAAAUGGGUGGUAAAUUCCAUCUAAAGCUAAAUAUAGGCGAGAGACCGAU